rnacentral:rRNA from 1 species
UACGUAGGGUGCAAGCGUUAAUCGGAAUUACUGGGCGUAAAGCGUGCGCAGGCGGCUUUGCAAGACAGAUGUGAAAUCCCCGGGCUUAACCUGGGAACUGCAUUUGUGACUGCAUGGCUGGAGUGCGGCAGAGGGGGAUGGAAUUCCGCGUGUAGCAGUGAAAUGCGUAGAUAUGCGGAGGAACACCGAUGGCGAAGGCAAUCCUCUGGGCCUGCACUGACGCUCAUGCACGGAAGCGUGGGGAGCAAACAGG